GAAGGUAUAGCUCAAGUGGCAGAGCACAUGCUUAGCAUGCACAAUGUCCUGGGUUCAAUCCCCAGUACCCCCU
rnacentral:tRNA from 1 species